rnacentral:rRNA from 1 species
UACGUAGGGACCAAGCGUUGUUCGGAUUUACUGGGCGUAAAGGGCGCGUAGGCGGCUUGUCAAGUCACUUGUGAAAUCUCUGGGCUUAACCCAGAACGGCCAAGUGAAACUGACAUGCUAGAGUGCAGAAGGGGCAAUCGGAAUUCUUGGUGUAGCGGUGAAAUGCGUAGAUAUCAAGAGGAACACCUGAGGUUAAGACGGGUUGCUGGGCUGACACUGACGCUGAGGCGCGAAAGCCAGGGGAGCAAACGGG